AGCAAGAGCGUGGGUAUGACAAAUGCAACCUGCUCCCAGAACAUUAUGUAUCAUUAUUAUGUGUAUUUUCCUGCAUAGGCACAAGAAUGAUGACAAGUACAUUGGAGCGUAAUUAAACGGCUGCAUUUUGGCCUCUACUGUGAAGUGGCAGGCUGACUGAAAUGGACAUUAAACGACCAGGCGUUCUCUCCUUAUGGCCAUAAAGUAUUAUGUUAUUAAAUAUGAGACUUUCUCUGUUACACGACGGUGCUUUUAACAGACAAUUUACACCGUCAGCGUUCCUGUAGCAUCACCGUCCUGAAGUGCAGCAAAAAAACAGCCUUCACUGUCCAAAGUACUGCCGCUGAAAUGACUGUCUUCGCCUAGCAAGUUUGAAGAUAACUGCAAAGUGAUCGGAAUCUCAACAGCCAGUAAAUGAUGGUCACGGUGAGAAGGAGAUGGAGCAAAACCACCCGCUUUCCUGCUCCUGUCCUCCUAGCUUGGCGGCGUGAGCCUUCGCCCGCUGUGAUGGAUGCCAGAGCGGAGAGAACAGCUGGCAGGGAGACCAGGGCGUGACCCUUUGCUGCAUGGUCGGUUUUUGGAAGACAGACACCAAUGCACAUUCCGGAGCAUCACUGAAGCGAGUCGGCAGCCAACCCUUUUCGUAAAUAUCUGCUGGUCGCGGCCUCGUUGGGCCUCCUCCCAAGCCAAUCUGCUGUACUUCCUGUACCAUCUCCCCACGCUCACGCCCACUCAGCAGCCUGCUCCCGCUCUUGCUCAAUCUCCGCGGACGAAAUGUCACCAGCUGAAACCGAACAAGUCCGCUAAUGCAAUCUGCAUCUCUCCGCUGUUUGUCAUUAAUGCCGUCUGCCGGGACCCAAGAAAGGAUUCAAUCACCAGUUAACCUUUUACCUGUCAGAUAAUGAAAAGUAACACCAGCAUGAUAUCGGGCACCCUGUCAGAUAGGGUUGCCGCCUUAAACGCUUUGCAUUGGAAAGCAAAAGAUUUUUCACUUUUUGCUAUCACAUUAGCAUAAGACAAUGUCAUUUAACAUAUUAACAGUAAUGUCAGGUAUCCUGUCCAGGGUGUCACCCUGUCUUGUUGCCUAUUCUGCCUAGGAUUCAACUAGGAUCCCCCCCGAAGUGGUUGUAAGAUAGAUGGGUAUUAAUAAUAAUAAAAAAAACAUAAAAGCUCUUCUUGUUUAAUAUAAAAUAACAUUGCUGUGUUUAUAUAUUGUUUUGUGGCAAUAA